UUGUAGUCUUAUCUCUGCAUGAUGAAUGAUUGCUCAACUGCACUAUAAUAUACGGCAUGCUCUUUGAUCAUUGAAUCAGGUUUUUGCUGUGACACUAUGUUUCUUCAAAAGCUGAGACUGAGACUGUCUUAAGCUAACCAGACAAUUAAAUUUGAGAUCCGUCUUUCUUGAAGUAGAAAUACCAGACAGCUUAUCAUUUAUCAUUAUGCUGGAUCAGUUUAGUGUCGUCUGAAGAACGGGACCCUGGUCCGAGGUUCUUCUGCCCUGGGACUACAGACAGUGCACAUCUACGCCCACAUCACUGUGCAGGAUCCCGACAGCCACCUGCUCCCAGAGAAAUGCUGGAGUCUUUUUCCAGGGUAUAUUCUGGAUGCUUCUGACCCCGGACCAAGUACUGAGAUGCUGCGGACUGUGCAGGGCCCCGACAAGCUUGUUCCCAUGGAAACACUGGGACCUCUUUCCAGGACCUGGUACCGUUUUUCUGGAUGAGCUCAUCACGUCCAUAUCUGAAGUUGAUCACCUGCUGUCUGUCGUCACCUUCACAGCGGUGUCGUCCUGUGGACAAGACGGAAUGUGCGGGUCCUUCUUCAGUGCUACUUUCACUCACUUCCUGUCGCUGUUCACCAGGCUCACCUGAGCAUCACCUCUCUUCAGACCACACCGCUUGCCCUUGUACCACUGGUCAACUCAAUAAAAUGUUUUUUCUGGCUGAA